CCGUCAAACUGCACAUGUCGCUCCCUUCACAAAAAAACUAGCACACAGAUACAUCCCUUCCGCUAUCCUUAUCCUGAUCCCUCUUCAGAAAAAAAAAGCCUUAUCCUGAUCCCUUUCCUUCUCUCAGAACGGAGGUGGAGAAGAAGCACGGGAGCACACUGGAGAGUCGACGUGGAGGUGGCGGAUCAGAGGAGCCGGCGAAAAGGUCGGCCAGGGAACGGGAAUAGCAGCUCCACCGUCUCGUCCUCCCAAAUUCUCAGAGCGGAGCUGGAGUAAUGCCGUCUGCGUCGGCGUCGGCGUCGAGCCGUCAAGGGUGCGGGAUGUGGGAUGUCUGCCCAUCCGCAACUACUGGAAGAACACGCUGGCAGCGAGCGUCUCCAAGAGCAAGGGAGGAGAUGACGUUGCAGCUCAAGGGGGCCUCACUACCUGAAGACAAGGCACCACGCAGGAAGCUUCUCAUUAACGGGCACUGCCAUGUGGGUGUUGGAGGUCUGCGGCAACGCCUUCCGCUAUAGUGCUGGCGAGAACAUAUAAUCCUCCUAAAGAAUACAAGGUCAGGGUGAGAUAUCAUAUGCUCGUAAACUUCCAGGCCGUGUACUUAGAUGUCCCUUCUAUUUUACACGCGUUGUGAGUGUUAAUCAAGACAUAUAUAAUCCUGUCGAUGCACGUUCACACAACUACAUGUCCCUCCAAAUUUCCUCAGUUAAUACUUAUAGUUAUAUAUGAUAAUAUUAUAAUUAUUGGUGUUAUGAUAUUGGUCCAGAGUCAACUAUACAUUUACAAUAUUGAAGUAAUAUAUUUUAAGUUUGGUACAUGCAAAAAAGUUUACAACCCAUAAACACCUUAUGUGAUAAUUGAUAAACAAAUUAAUGUGACAUACAUCCAUCCAUUUAUGGUAACUACGAAUGCAAGUAUACAUCACAAUCAUUUGUUUCCUAACCACAUAAAAAUAUAUUUGUUUUCAUAAUUUCCGAACAUUUUUUAACGAUGGUCCUUUUAUCUCGGAUAUACCUAUUUUCAUACAUUUCUUACUCCUAAAAACACACGGAAAUUCAAAAAAGGUUAAGUUCCAUAUUUAAAAUUAUUAGCAAUGACCUCUCUUUUACGUUAUUAAACAUGUUAUGACCUUAAUAUCAGGCAUCCGUGUCGAAACACACAUUACAUUGACCAUGAAUGAGCCUCUAUCUCUUUUAAUAGGAUGAUGUAGGGGAAAAAAAUCCUGUUGCAACUCAGGGGCCUUUUUCCUAGUAUAAACUAUAUCUAUAUUAUUCGUGAUCGUGCAUGGUACUAGCUUCUUCUUCAAUAAUAUGUGGCCACGCCGCAAUGGAACGGUCGUAGAGGUCUUGAUCAUGCAUGUUGAGUGGUUUGUAGUUGUCGCCCAUCUUUACCGCCUCACGAAACUUAUUCAUCAAAUGUCUCCGUUUCCCGCGAACACGGGACACACUAAGUUCACCACGGUAGAUGAUGGGUGACGUAGAUGAUGGGUGACGGGCCCUUUUUUAACUUCUGUAUGAGCGCCGGCACCGGUACGUCCCCGCCUUUGUAUUUCUUCUUCCUUCGGAGCAUCCCAUCGGCAUCAAUUAUUUGGCACUCGUCGUUGAAGUGCCAGUAGUUGUACUGGGGCCUUGGCCCCCGCUUCUUCUUGCUUAUUGAAUUUGAGUCGACGGAGACAAACGAUUUGCCACUAUUGGAGUCCAUGGCGCCGAUGUCAGCAGCUGACUCCUCAUCGCCGGAGGAGGAGAUAACAACAACGUCGUCGGCCUUCUUUAAAAAAAAGAAACCAAAUCAAACAAUUCUAAUUAAUUCUCAUGAUUUCUCAAACAUACGUGUAACCAACAUAUGUAGUUUUUUUUUGAAACAAGUAACCAACAUAUGUAGUUAUAUGAAAAGAAAAAACUAAUACUUCGCAUCUGUGCCCGUCGUGGUCUAAGAAUGCAAGGCCGUUGGAUUUGGUGGAGUAAUUGUCGACGUCAACAGCAGCAUCUUGAGAGGAGGUAUUGUCCACCUUUUUGUAAAAAAGAAAGAGAAACCGAGUCAAAUAAAAUUCUUACUGUGCAAUGUGUAUUCUCAGUGCAUUGGUGCAUAUAUAUAUAUAUAUUUUUUCUAUC